rnacentral:rRNA from 1 species
GUCGCCUACGGGGGGCGGCAGUGGGGAAUAUUGCACAAUGGGGGAAACCCUGAUGCAGCGACGCCGCGUGAAGGAAGAAGUAUUUCGGUAUGUAAACUUCUAUCAGCAGGGAAGAAAAUGACGGUACCUGACUAAGAAGCCCCGGCUAACUACGUGCCAGCAGCCGCGGUAAUACGUAGGAUGCGAGCGUUAUCCGGAUUUAUUGGGUUUAAAGGGUGCGCAGGCGGGAGAUCAAGUCAGCGGGAAAAUGUCGGGGCUCAACCCCGGCCGGCCGUUGAAACUGGUUUUCUAGAGGUGG